rnacentral:lncRNA from 1 species
CGGCAUUUGUAAAGUCUUCAAUUCUUGUGGUUGGAGUUUCAACACUUUUCGGUCGUUUUGAGGAACUCCCAAAAAAACUCUGGAUGGAUAUUUGUCUCUUCAUAAUUCAGUUGUUGAUCAUUUUUCUCAUUAAUUUAUAAUUGCAAUUUUUGUUUUAACAUCGCCGUAUCUAUAUAUCAACAAACAGCACGUGUUUAUAGACAAUAAACAUCUAUUUUUAUUUAUUU